CGCCUUCAUGGGAUGCGGUGGUACUCGUUACUUCAAACCAUUGUGAACCUUCCUGUUGCUUCGGCGGCAUGCUUCGUGCUGUCAGCCCGUCUGAGGCCCACCAUGAAACCAUUUCUGUAAACUUCUGUCAGUAUACGAAAAGUAAAUCGUUAAAACUUUCAACAACGGAUCUCUUGGUUCUCGCAUCGAUGAAGAACGCAGCGAAACGCGAUAGGUAAUGUGAAUUGCAGAAUUCAGUGAAUCAUCGAAUCUUUGAACGCACAUUGCGCCUCCUGGUAUUCCGGGGGGCAUGUCUGUUUGAGCGUCAGUACCCACUCUGUCGAAACCUUUUGUUUCGUCAGGUCUUGAGGGACAUCUGUCCUUUCAAUGUAGACGCUUGCGAACCCGAUACCGAUCACGACGUAGUAAUUUCAUUUCGUCUUGUCAAGUUGAAGGCCGCCUGAACACCAAACUUUGUAGUUUGACCUCAGAUCAGACAAGGAUACCCGCUGAACUUAA
rnacentral:rRNA from 1 species